GCGGGGGUUGCCGAGCCAGGAUAAAGGUGCGAGACUUAAGAUCUCGUUCCGAAGGGAGUCGGGGGUUCAAAUCCCCUCCCCCGCA
rnacentral:tRNA from 1 species